rnacentral:tRNA from 2 species
AGCAAGAUAAGCUAAGUCAAGCUUUUGGGCCCAUACCCCAAAUAUGUUGGUGAAAACCCCUCUCUUGCUA